UUAGUCUCUAUUCUUGCUCUUCCCACCACUUCAUUGGUGUCAUCUCAAACAAAAGAUAGUAACUCAAGUCGCUCAUCAAGACUUUGCCUACCCCUACUCCAUGGUGUGAGUUGUGCUGGACAGGAGGAUUGGGAGCUAACUGGUGGGACGAAGCCCAGAUUGGCCUCUACACGGGAAUUGGAAAAAAAGUAGCAGAAGAAUGUUGAAGCAUACUACAAAAAAAGCAGCAGCAUAAAGCCAAACAUUGUUCUUGAUUGAAUUUGAUCCGAGAGCUACAUGAUCUCAUUUGAAGCCAAACAUAUUGUUCCUAAUUGUUGUGAUUGAAGAAUUGGCGAGUGACAUUAUAAAAUUGCAAGUGAGGCUUUGAUUUAUAUGCCAUGUGGAAUAUGUGGAUUGGAGAAACUGACUAAUCUUCUGACAUUAUCAAAAUUGGUGGUCCGCACCAGUUCUCUUUCUAGCCUUUGACUUGGAGCAUUUCUAAUGAGCUUGCCAAACACCAUUUUCUGUCAAAAUCUCUCGAGCUCCCUCAAAAUACGCCCUGCAACAGUGACUUUGCCUCUUGUCAGACUCACUCAUCUUCACUUUUGGGCAUUUAAUUGUAUAUUCAUCACUCUCUCGCGCCUCAUCCUCCUUCACGCGCUUUCUCUCAAAACGAAGCUUGAAGUGGAUACGAGCUUCAACUAGAUUUGCAAGCUUUUGAAUCACAGUCAUAUGAUGAUGAUAAGAAGCAAAGGAGGGUUGAGAGACGGGAGUGUAAUGUUCUUGCGAGCUGAUCACACAUUUUUUCUAGACUUCUAUACAUGUGCGUUCGGGCGAGGUACAAAUUCCAAAUUCACAGAGACGUUCGUUUGCAUUAGUGUCUAAAGCACGUCCGGAUGAGACAUCAAUUCCAGAUUUACCGAGACGCUCUUCUGCAAUGACGUUUGAAACUAUAUUUUGGAAACUGCUAAGCACGAAAUAGAUAUAGAUUCUAUGUGAGAAUCAACUGUGCUUUCAUCCACUUGAUUCUAGAGCAUCAAAGAGUUUUGUCUCUUAGAGUAAUAGGUUGUGCAUUCAUUCACAUAUCAUGAACAAUGCAUGAAGCCUAUUAGAGUUUCGGUGAAGGGGAUCACAUAAAAGAAACGUUCCAAAAGUUAUGGGAGAACUGCUGCGGUAGCGGACAAGUGUGUCACUUGUUUAGUACACGAAAUUAUCAUUUGCAAGUUUUUGUAAGUAUUGAAAUUGUGUAAUUUCUCAUUUUUUUAGUGGAGUGAUUUCUUGGGUUUGUCUACCCCGUAGUGGUUUUACUUUUGAAGAAUUCUUCAAAAGGUUUUCACUUCGUAACCAAAUAUCUGUAUCCAUUGAUUUACUGCACUUAUAUAUAUUUGGUGAAUACUUGCAUGAUUA